UGAGCAAUCUUGGAAAGAACACACCUGGACUGUGAGUCAUGGCCUGGACUUCUCUUGUGAUCAUACUUCUGGCUCACUGCACAGGGAUUAUUUCCCAAGCUGUUGUGACUCAGGAAUCUUCACUCACAACAACUCCUGGAGGGACAGUCACACUCACCUGUGGCUCAAGUACUGGGGCAGUUACCACUAGUAACUAUGCCAACUGGAUCCAAGAAAAAUCUCAUCAAGUGCACACUGGUCUGAUAGGUAGUACUAGCAAUAGAGCCCCAGGUGUUCCUGCCAGAUUCUCAGGCUCCCUGCUUGGAGACAAGGCUGCCCUCACCAUCACAGGGGCCCAGCCUGAGGAUGAGGCUGUGUAUUACUGUGCUCUGUGGUAUAGUACUCAUUUUGUUUUCGGCAGCGGAACCCAUCUCACUGUCUUAGGUGGGACCAAGUCCACUCCCAAAGUCACAGUGUUUCCACCUUCACCUGAGGAACUUCAGACAAACAAAGCCACACUGGUGUGUCUGGUCAAUGAUUUCUACCCAGGUGCUGCAACAGUGACCUGGAAGGCAAAUGGAGCAACUAUCACUGAUGGGGUGGUGACUACAAAGCCCUCCAAACAGGGCCAAAACUACAUGGCCAGCAGCUACCUAAGUUUGACAGCAGACCAGUGGCGAUCUCAGAGCAGCGUUUCCUGCCAAGUUAUGCAUGAAGGGAAUGUUGUGGAGAAGAGUUUAUCCCCUGCAGAAUGUCUCUAGGAGUCCAGUCUUCUUCUUACAGAGGAAGCCUGGAGCUAGGAGACCCAGAAUGUAGUCUUUUCUCUAUACUAUACUCCCAAACCUCUCUUACCCUCUGAGUAUUCAAUAAAAUAUCAUGAGUUAAUCAGA